rnacentral:rRNA from 1 species
AACGAACGCUGGCGGCAGGCCUAACACAUGCAAGUCGAACGCACCGCAAGGUGAGUGGCGCACGGGUGAGUAACACGUGGGAAUGCACCCUUUGGUUCGGAAUAACGUUUGGAAACGAACGCUAAUACCGGAUGAGCCCUGCGGGGGAAAGAUUUAUCGCCAAAGGAGCAGCCCGCGUCUGAUUAGCUAGUUGGUGGGGUAAAGGCCUACCAAGGCGACGAUCAGUAGCUGGUCUGAGAGGAUGAUCAGCCACACUGGGACUGAGACACGGCCCAGACUCCUACGGGAGGCAGCAGUGGGGAAUAUUGGACAAUGGGCGCAAGCCUGAUCCAGCCAUGCCGCGUGAGUGAUGAAGGCCUUCGGGUUGUAAAGCUCUUUCGCACGCGACGAUGAUGACGGUAGCGUGAGAGAAGCCCCGGCUAACUUCGUGCCAGCAGCCG